GGAGACGACUCGUCGCUAUUUUUUGCCUUCGAGCGGAAAAAACUUGCAUUUUAAAGGAAAGGAAUAAAAUGUGCACCUUUGCUGCUGAGGUCUCUAGGAGCGCCUGCGAGGUCACACUCCAGCCUGAUGGAGGAGGGGAGCUUCCUCCAGCUGUCUGUUCACGCCCCCCCCAGCUUCUGGAUGAUGCUCAUUUCUCAGCUCUCCAAGUCGCUGUUCUUUUAUUCAUACCAUAUGAAGGACUCUGUGUCACACCCUAAUCACUUCUGGCCUGGGCAUCAUGGACGCCAAGCAAGACAAGCACAAGCGGAGCGAGAGCUGGACGUGCACAAGAGUUGUGGGAGCAGGAGAAGUUAGCCCACACUGCCACCACAGCCUGCUGUUUGUACACAUAUGGCUGCCUUCAUGAGCCAAAGACGCCGCUUCCCAGA